rnacentral:tRNA from 1 species
GGCUCGGUAGCUUAGUUGGUAAAGCGUUCGUCUAGCAUACAAGAGUCCUUCCAAGGUUCGAAUCCCAGCCGAGCAC